rnacentral:rRNA from 1 species
CCGGCCUGAGAGGGCGACCGGCCACACUGGGACUGAGACACGGCCCAGACUCCUACGGGAGGCAGCAGUGGGGAAUAUUGCACAAUGGGGGAAACCCUGAUGCAGCGACGCCGCGUGGGGGAUGAAGGCCUUCGGGUUGUAAACCCCUUUCAGUAGGGAACAAGGCCAUGAUUGUUGUUGUGGUUGAGGGUACUUGCAGAAGAAGCGCCGGCUAACUACGUGCCAGCAGCCGCGGUAAUACGUAGGGCGCAAGCGUUGUCCGGAAUUAUUGGGCGUAAAGAGCUCGUAGGCGGUUUGUCGCGUCUGCCGUGAAAUCCCGAUGCUUAACGUCGGGCUUGCGGUGGGUACGGGCAGGCUAGAGUGCGGUAGGGGUGACUGGAAUUCCUGGUGUAGCGGUGGAAUGCGCAGAUAUCAGGAGGAACACCGAUGGCGAAGGCAGGUCACUGGGCCGUUACUGACGCUGAGGAGCGAAAGCAUGGGGAGCGAACAGGAUUAGAUACCCUGGUAGUCCAUGCCGUAAACGUUGGGCACUAGGUGUGGGGAUUGUUCCACGAUUCCUGUACCGUAGCUAACGCAUUAAGUGCCCCGCCUGGGGGAGUACGGA